CUAGAAACGAUGACGAAGAAAAGUACAUAAAGAGAUGCGGAUUGAGAGAGUCUAUGGCUGCUGUAAAUAGACAACGCGCUUUAUCGAAUGGGCUUCUGAGUUCAUAUGGUGAACCUUUAGUAGCUAUAUGCGUGUGCUCACGUUACGAGGCAAAGUGGUUAGGCAACUAACAAGCUGGGUGGUACCGCGGAUUCAAACAUCAUUCGUCCCUUAU
rnacentral:ncRNA from 1 species